AGCAGCCGCGGUAAUUCCAGCUCCAAUAGCGUAUAUUAAAGUUGUUGCAGUUAAAAGCUCGUAGUUGAAUUUCGGGAUUGACACAUCGGUCGUGCCUUAAGGGGUAUGAACUGGUGUAGUCAAUUUCUCACCUUCUGGAGAACCGCGAUGCCCUUAAUUGGGUGUCGCGGGGAACCAGGACCUUUACUUUGAAAAAAUUAGAGUGUUUAAAGCAGGCAUUUUGCUUGAAUACAUUAGCAUGGAAUAAUAAAUAGGACGGCAUGAUUCUAUUUUGUUGGUUUCUAGGAUCACCGUAAUGAUUAAUAGGGAUAGUUGGGGGCAUUAGUAUUCAAUUGUCAGAGGUGAAAUUCUUGGAUUUAUUGAAGACUAACUACUGCGAAAGCAUUUGCCAAGGAUGUUUUCAUUAAUCAAGAACGAAAGUUAGGGGAUCGAAGACGAUCAGAUACCGUGUAGUCUUAACCAUAAACUAUGC
rnacentral:rRNA from 1 species